GAUACCCGGGAUCGCCCCCCGUCAGCGAGGUUUCGCCCACGGGGGCGAGUGGC
rnacentral:sRNA from 1 species